GACGAACGCUGGCGGCGUGCUUAACACAUGCAAGUCGAGCGGAGCGGCGAACGGGUGAGUAACGCGUGAGUAACUGCCCCCCUCUCUGGGAUAACAGUUGGAACAGGCUGCUAAUACCGGAUAGUGGGGGAUGGCUCGCGUCCUAUCAGCUUGUUGGUGGGGGAGUUGCCUACCAGGGCGACGACGGGUAGCCGGCCUGGGAGGGGGACCGGCAACAUUGGGAUGAGGUACGGCCCAAACUCCUACGGGAGGCAGCAGUGGGUAAUAUUGCACAAUGGGGGAAACCCUGAUGCAGCAACGCCGCGUGCGGGAUGACGGGCUUCGGGUUGUAACCCGCUUUCAGCCAUGACGCGGUAGUGGCAGAAGAAGCACCGGCUAACUACGUGCCAGCAGCCGCGGUAAUUC
rnacentral:rRNA from 1 species